UAUUUUUGCAUCUAGGGUUCCAACUCAGCCUAAAAGCUGAGUGUUCGGUCCAAGAGAUGCAGCCAGCCAAAGUCUAAACACGACCUACUCUGGUUCACGGAGGGAUAAAAGCCCGGGAGAA
rnacentral:sRNA from 2 species